CAGCUUUGCUUCUGUUUUACAUGCAAGUGCUGCACAGAACACAUCCUGUUCAACCUGUUUGUGACUGACUCCAGCUCAGACUCCAGCUGGUCCGACAGGGUCAGGAACAUACCCACUGUUCUCUCUGCUCCCCGGCUAUAGAGGACACCCUGCACUCUCCACCAUGGUUUCAAAGCUCCAGCCAAAUACUGACCAUGCCGCUGUCAGCUGUCACUAUUCUCACUGAGAAAAACUGGUCCUUGUGCUGAUCCUUGGGAUUGUGCUGCUCCCUAAAG